rnacentral:rRNA from 1 species
GAUGAACGCUGGCGGCGUGCCUAACACAUGCAAGUCGAACGGAGUUUUAUGAAGUUUUCGGACGGAAUAAAACUUAGUGGCGGACGGGUGAGUAACGCGUGGGUAACCUGCCUCAUACAGGGGGAUAACAGUUGGAAACGGCUGCUAAAACCGCAUAAGCAUACAUUGUCGCCUGGCAGAGUGUGAAAAUAUCUAUAGGUAUGAGAUGGGCCCGCGUCUGAUUAGCUAGUUGGUAAGGUAACGGCUUACCAAGGCGACGAUCAGUAGCCGGCUUGAGAGAGUGACCGGCCACAUUGGGACUGAGACACGGCCCAAACUCCUACGGGAGGCAGCAGUGGGGAAUAUUGCACAAUGGGGGAAACCCUGAUGCAGCGACGCCGCGUGAGUGAAGGAGUAUUUCGGUAUGUAAAGCUCUAUCAGCAGGGAAGAAAAUGACGGUACCUGACUAAGAAGCCCCGGCUAACUACGUGCCAGCAGCCGCCGUAA